rnacentral:rRNA from 1 species
AGAGUUUGAUCCUGGCUCAGAACGAACGCUGGCGGCAGGCCUAACACAUGCAAGUCGAACGAUAAGCCACCUUCGGGUGGUGGACAGUGGCAGACGGGUGAGUAACGCGUGGGAACGUGCCUUUCGGUUCGGAAUAACCCAGGGAAACUUGGGCUAAUACCGGAUACGCCCUUCGGGGGAAAGAUUCAUUGCCGAAAGAUCGGCCCGCGUCGGAUUAGCUAGUUGGUGGGGUAAUGGCCCACCAAGGCGACGAUCCGUAGCUGGUCUGAGAGGAUGACCAGCCACACUGGGACUGAGACACGGCCCAGACUCCUACGGGAGGCAGCAGUGGGGAAUAUUGGACAAUGGGCGCAAGCCUGAUCCAGCCAUGCCGCGUGGGUGAAGAAGGCCUUAGGGUUGUAAACCCCUUUCAGCGGGGAAGAUAAUGACGUACCCGCAGAAGA